GAUGAACGCUGGCGGCGUGCCUAAUACAUGCAAGUCGAGCGAACAGACGAGGAGCUUGCUCCUCUGACGUUAGCGGCGGACGGGUGAGUAACACGUGGAUAACCUACCUAUCAGACUGGGAUAACUUCGGGAAACCGGAGCUAAUACCGGAUAAUAUAUUGAACCGCAUGGUUCAAUAGUGAAAGACGGUUUUGCUGUCACUUAUAGAUGGAUCCGCGCCGCAUUAGCUAGUUGGUAAGGUAACGGCUUACCAAGGCAACGAUGCGUAGCCGACCUGAGAGGGUGAUCGGCCACACGGGAACUGAGACACGGUCCAGACUCCUACGGGAGGCAGCAGUAGGGAAUCUUCCGCAAUGGGCGAAAGCCUGACGGAGUAACGCCGCGUGAGUGAUGAAGGUCUUCGGAUCGUAAAACUCUGUUAUUAGGGAAGAACAAAUGUGUAAGUAACUAUGCACGUCUUGACGGUACCUAAUCAGAAAGCCACGGCUAACUACGUG
rnacentral:rRNA from 1 species